UACGUAGGGGGCAAGCGUUGUCCGGACUUAUUGGGCGUAAAGAGCGUGUAGGCGGCUAGACAGGUCUGCUGUGAAAACUCGAGGCUCAACCUCGAGAUGUCGGCGGAAACCGUCUGGCUAGAGUCCGGAAGAGGAGAGUGGAAUUCCUGGUGUAGCGGUGAAAUGCGCAGAUAUCAGGAAGAACACCUAUGGCGAAGGCAGCUCUCUGGGACGGUACUGACGCUGAGACGCGAAAGCGUGGGGAGCGAACAGG
rnacentral:rRNA from 1 species